rnacentral:rRNA from 1 species
UACGGAGGGGGCCAGCGUUGCUCGGAAUUACUGGGCUUAAAGGGCGCGUAGGCGGGUUUGCAAGUCGGGGGUGAAAUCUUUCAGCUCAACUGGAAAAGUGCCCCCGAUACUGCGAGUCUCGAGGGAGGUAGGGGCAUGUGGAACUAAUGGUGGAGCGGUGAAAUGCGUAGAUAUCAUUAGGAACGCCGGUGGCGAAAGCGACGUGCUGGACCUCUUCUGACGCUGAGGCGCGAAAGCUAGGGGAGCAAACGGG